GACGAGCGCUGGCGGCGUGCUUAACACAUGCAAGUCGAACGGAAAGGCCCUGCUUGCAGGGUACUCGAGUGGCGAACGGGUGAGUAACACGUGGGUGAUCUGCCCUGCACUUCGGGAUAAGCCUGGGAAACUGGGUCUAAUACCGGAUAGGAGCCAUUUUUAGUGUGAUGGUUGGAAAGUUUUUUCGGUGUAGGAUGAGCUCGCGGCCUAUCAGCUUGUUGGUGGGGUAAUGGCCUACCAAGGCGGCGACGGGUAGCCGGCCUGAGAGGGUGGACGGCCACAUUGGGACUGGGAUACGGCCCAGACUGCUACGGGAGGCAGCAGUGGGGAAUAUUGCACAAUGGGCGCAAGCCUGAUGCAGCGACGCCGCGGGGGGGAUGACGGCCUUCGGGUUGUAAACUCAUUUCGCUAGGGACGAAGCUUUUUGUGACGGUACCUAGAUAAGAAGCACCGGCUAACUACGUG
rnacentral:rRNA from 1 species